GGGGGUGCACUGGUUUCGACGGGGAUCGUCGGGCACAUGGCAAGCGAGCCGCGGCCCCUGUACCGCGCAACAACGGGGAAAACAAACAACUGACAACAAUCAGAAGUUAGCUUUCGCGGCCUAAGCCCGCGGAACGUCGGCCUCAAGCGCUCACGGCUUGAAUCUCCGGCGCAAAUGAUGUGAGGAACAGGGCCACCUAAGCUUUGCGGUGAACCCGGUAAAAUGAAGCUACCAAGCCCGGCAGCCUGACAGUGGGCGGCCGGGGGCGGGAAUUUGAAACCACUGUCUGCGCUCGGAGAAAUCCAUGGGUUUGAAUCUUCGGACAGGGGUUCGAUUCCCCUCACCUCCACCA
rnacentral:tmRNA from 1 species